UUUGAACGCUACUCUUCCUUCCUCCACCGCCCUAACCCACGCCUUCAGAAUUAGAGACGUCAUCGAACCGCCGUUCACUAGGAAGCCCCAAAUCGCACCAUCAUCGCAAGUCACCAGGAAGCCCUAAAUCGAAACUCACCAUCGUCGCGCCAUCAUCGUCGCUGCAUCCUUCCCAAAAUCGUCGCUGCCUCCUCCUUCCCGGCGUCGCUGAGUCUCUCCUCUCUGCGGCGUCGCUGCUUCUCCCCUCUCUGCGGCUUCAGUGCUUCUCCAUUCUCCGCUGCGUCCUUGCGUCUUCUUCUUCGCUGCUUCUCCCCUGUUCUGCCUCGCUGCUUCUGCUUCACUGGGUUGUGCUUUGCUGCUUCUGCUUUGCUGCUGCUGCUUUACUGCAUCGGCCGUUUGUGGUUUGUCUCUUUAAAACCAGAAAAAGGGAAUCAAAUAGCGGGUCUCUCUGUAGCUGCGACUACCCUAGACAUUGAGCUACACUACAGAUACAAAUUGUUAGUCUCAUGAUUGGUUGAGAUGUUCUCUUUUGAACAUGUGUGGUUGAUUUCUAGAAAUCCUUUAGAAGCAAUAAGCUCUUGAUUGAAAAAAAAUCACUUAUAGUUAGUCUAAAACAUAUGUCUGUGUCUUUUAUUUUAGUUGACAAAGUAAUGGACAAAGGGUGGACUAGUUUACCAAGACAUACUGAGGGUUACCAACAUGGUGUUAAUUCAUUUUUGGAUUUUGCCUUUUCUAAAGGUAGACCACAAGGACAAGAAAUUCUUUGGCCUUGUUCUAUAUGUAAUAACUUUAGUUGGGGGCGAAGGGAUGAAGUUUAUGAUCAUUUAAUAAGUAAGGGAUUUCAAAAAGGUUACACUGUGUGGGUUCAUCACGGCGAAAGGAUAAGUCACAUGGAUAGUGAUUCCGAUGAGGUUGAAGUCCAUGAAGGAUUUGUCGACGAUAUUCCUGGGCUGCUAAACGGGACGUUUCGGCAUGUGCUUGAAUGAGAUAAAGAUGGUGAUGGGCCAAAUGAAGAUGCAAAAAAG